rnacentral:rRNA from 1 species
UACGUAGGGUGCGAGCGUUAAUCGGAAUUACUGGGCGUAAAGCGUGCGCAGGCGGUUUUGUAAGCCAGAUGUGAAAGCCCCGGGCUCAACCUGGGAAUGGCAUUUGGGACUGCAAGGCUAGAGUGCGGCAGAGGAGACUGGAAUUCCUGGUGUAGCAGUGAAAUGCGUAGAUAUCAGGAGGAAUACCGAUGGCGAAGGCAGGUCUCUGGGCUGACACGUGACGUCAUGCACGAAAGCGUGGGGAGCAAACAGG